AUUGAACGCUGGCGGCAUGCUUUACACAUGCAAGUCGAACGGCAGCACGGAAGAGCUUGCUCUUUUGGUGGCGAGUGGCGAAGGGGUGAGAAAUGCAUCGGAACGUAUCGAGUUAUGGGGGAUAACUGUCAGAAAGGAUAGCUAAUACAGCAUACGCUUUGUGCAGGAAAAUGGGGGCUCUUCGGACCUCACGUUAGUCGAGCGGCCGAUGUCUGAUUAGCUAGUUGGUGGGGUAAAGGCCUACCAAGGCGACGAUCAGUAGCGGGUCUGAGAGGAUGAUCCGCCACACUGGGACUGAGACACGGCCCAGACUCCUACGGGAGGCAGCAGUGGGGAAUUUUGGACAAUGGGCGCAAGCCUGAUCCAGCCAUGCCGCGUGGCUGAAGAAGGCCUUCGGGUUGUAAAGGACUUUUGUUAGGGAAGAAAAGGAUAGUGUUAAUACCAUUAUCUGCUGACGGUACCUAAAGAAUAAGCACCGGCUAACUACGUG
rnacentral:rRNA from 1 species